CCGGUAAUUCUGAAUGUCCGGUGAAGACGGUCAGUAGAGAUACAACACCUCCAACACAAUAAUAAUCUCUCUCUCUCAAUCUCGUGAUUCAAGAAUCCAUUUCCAGUUUGCUUACUUUCUCUCUCUCUGGAUUCAAGAAUUCAUUUCCAGUUUACGUUCUGCCUCGGCCACUCCUCCUCAUCUCCCAAUCAAGGCCAUGUCUCUCACACCUUUGAUGUUUAGGUCAGUGCUGAGGCUACUGGCAUCGCUCAUCAGUGAGCCUGCGGUUUCAGUCUCGACGUUACUGUACUACAGCGAUCUUAUACCUGAAAAUAAUAUCCUUCUGGAGAGACUGGUUCGCCACGAUUUGCUGGAUGACGAAAACUAUCUCUUCCAUUUUCUUGUUAAUUUCUUGAGAUGCUUCUGGUAGCUAUAUUAUCUUGCGUCAAUUAAUAUUGGCCUGCUGUGAUUUGACUGCUUAUUUUCCUAUGUAUACACAUAUUGUUUUGAGAAACUUUCCAUAUCAAUAUGACCAAACUUUGUUUGAA